CUAUGUUUGCAGGAUUUCACUUCUUCCCAAUCUCUGGCCGAAGCUUGGUCUCUCCGCGAUUUUAUCUGCCUGCUUUAGGGACCCUGCUGAAUAUUUCCAUCGAACUUCGCGCAAAGGAUUCGCUCAUUGACGACCUUGCUGAAGGCAACAAAACCGACUGCAUAGAAGAGUUUGAAAAGUAUGUACCUACAUUGAAGAAAAAAAUCUAUACAAAAUAUUGUCGCUCAUAGUGCUCAAUAAAAGAAAAAUGUUGCAGUGAC